rnacentral:tRNA from 1 species
GGGGCGGUAGUUGAGCUGGUUACAACGCCGGCCUGUCACGCCGGAGGUCGCGGGUUCAAAUCCCGUCCGUCCCGCCA